CUUACAUCACAACAACGACUGUAAACUGUUUGUAGUUUAAGUUUUUAAUGAAGCAAAAUUCCAAAUUCCAAAGUCAGAUAGAAUGUUGAAAAAAAUAAAAAUAAAUAAAUAAAUAAAUCCUACAAAUCAGUUUGAAACCCAAAAAAAAAAAAAAAAAAAAAAUUCAAAUUGAAGCGGAAAUUGCAUUCUGGUCAAUUACUACUGUGUGUAUGGAUAGAUAGUAGUGUUGUCGCCCCCCGAGACAUAGCCCAAUGUUGCAAAAAACAGGAGUGAAGUUAUCUCACGCCUUGCUAGCAGUCGCAGUGUGGGGGUUCGAUUCCUGAGAAGUGGAAUUGGACUCUUUAUAGAUGCAGUGUACAAACAGCUUUUGUUCCCUGACCUGCUGAGACACAUUCCGCGAUUUACCUCCCUCACAAAUCUUUAGGGGUGGGACGGUGGGAGCUCUCAAGGUUGGGUGCCGUCAAUUUCUUAGCCACUUCUCCAAGUCUAACUCUAACUCCAUUACACCUUCGACAAAAAAGAAGAAAGCAAAAGAUAAUCUACUGUCUUGAUUCUAAUCAAAUAACCAUACAAGUCCUUCAAUUUUCUGAUUGAUUUUUUACAUCAUAAAAACCAUGAAUGUGGAGGAUUGCCUAAGAUUUAACUAUAAAUUCGGAUUUAAAUUCAAUUACACUGACAUCAGAAGAGAUAUUCUAGCAGCUAUAAACUGAGGUUGUUUUAUCUAUUAACUGCAUUUGGAGCCAUUUCACAAUAAUAAUACUUCAUAGAAAAAAGCAGGAAGAGAAUCAAAAUAAAAACAUCUAACCUUCACAAAAUUUCCAACUUAUGUAAUGGAAACAUGUAACUAUGUAAAAUAAAAAUUAUUGACACUGACAGAUGUGCCUCUACAAAAAUACUUUGAAGAGAUUAAGAUGCACACGAGAUGAACAACCAGAAGCGAAGCAAAGCUCCUUCGGAGGCAUGGAAUGACACUCGCAUUGCAAAACCACCUUCGUAAAACGUGUCAAUCCAAAGGAAAGUGAGUGCAAAAAGUUAUAAUGUCCAGAUAUCUUUCCACUGAAAUGAAAGUCACUACAAAUGAAAAUAGUAGAAAUUUUCAGCUCGAGGGUAAGUGUUGUGCAUGUGGCUCAUAUAAAGUGGAACACAGGCCCUAGAUCAAAUGAGCAGAUGCCGGCGCGGAGCGGAGUGGAGUGAGAGGAGCGGAGCGCAUCGAACCCGCUUCGCUCUCGUGGACGUCGGCACACCGUCGAACCACGUAAAAUUCUUGUGUUGAUUUUCGUUUUCAUCUAUUUAAUAUUGCGCAAAAAAUUCAACAGUAAGCAACCGUGAAAAUCAGUAUCUAGGAGAUGCAAUCUAACAUGAUUACAUGUUCAUAUUCCACGAAGGUCAGCUUAACGGAAUAUUGCACAAGGUGAAUGCCAGACCUUUCUGUAGUUUAAAUUACAUGAAAUGCUAUCUUAGAAAUAUUACAAUCCCAUGUCUUAAACAUCAUCAUCAAUUUGUUAUGAACUCUUCAAGAUCAAAUCUUGUAUCAUCUGAACUUGAAAAUAAAUGCUUGGCUUAUGUUAACUUCACCAGUCAACACAACAAACCAGUUAAACAAUGCUCACAUUCACAAUUCAUUUUACCAUCCAGUAACAGCAAUAUCUGCUGCAAUUCAAAGGUUUUGUGGCACAAUAUUUGCCGGUCCAGAAACACCAUCGAGAAUCUUGACCUAAGUUCUUGUUUUGGUUUCAUUAUAGGUUGUUGAAGUUAAAAUGUGAUAAAAAUGAGUGGUGGAUAAGAGGGUGGUUGUUGUGGCUCCUACGAAUGAAUGGUUAAAAUUAAAUUUGAGAUUAUAAUGAAAGGCAAACAAGCUUAAUGUCCCGCAGGUCAUUAAGGAAAAGAAUUUUCAUCUAAGAUGGUACACAGAAUAGUAAGCAUAGAAUUUGAUGACAUUAUCAUAGAAAUAUUGAAGAAGAUACUAUUGAAUUUGCAAUGAUAAUGCCACUGCACCUGCUGAUCCUACAAGUAAGAGAUUUGAGACUAGGGAAAUCUAUGGGAAUAGAAUCAAUUAAUCAUUCGAGCAAUUCAGUUGAUUCUUUAUUGCAGCUGCAUGCAAAAAUAUUUUGGAGAGCAAUAAAAAUUUAACAGGGUAAUAUGUAGAAUUACUUGCCAUUCAUGGCAAUAGUAAUAACAUCAAGGCAAUAGUAUUGAAGGGCUGACCAUACUAUAAUCUGAUGAGAGAGUACCUUUGACCAAAUGCAAAAAUCAGUAGGCCUAAUUUCUAUACAAGCAAAAUAAGUUAAAAGAAAUGUGCAGCUUUAGCAAAUGAUGCAAUCUUUAGCAUAACUCAUACGAGGUUGUGGUAUACUCUUGCAAUAUCAAAACAUUCCCGGAACUCUCAAUGGCUCGAUGUUUUUCAGAACAAAGGUGCAGCUUUAGCAAAAUUAUACAAUCUUUAGAAUAACUCUUACAAGGUUAAGAUAUAAAAUUGCAUUAUUAAAACAUGCUGCGGGCUCUUGAAGACUGCUAUUUUUGCUUUAGCUGGAUGACAUAAAAGAACUUCUGCUUCAAACAAUUCACUUAUCAAAAAGUUAUAGGCUGGAUAACUACCUUUGGCUCGAGCGUUGAGAUUAACACAGAGUCUUAUGACAACAUCUACCCUUUCGGAACUUGUAACUUACACACUGGAAGCAGAAAAUCUCACCUCACUUCAUCUCAGACCUACAAAAAUCAUAUGCAGUGCACUUCAAAUUUCCAAUACUUGAUCACAUAUCAUUGAGAAUAACUUUUCAC
rnacentral:lncRNA from 1 species